rnacentral:tRNA from 1 species
GGACGCGUAGCUCAGUUGGAAGAGCACCGGACUUUUAAUCCGGGUGUCGCGGGUUCGAUUCCCGCCGUGUUCACCA